rnacentral:rRNA from 1 species
GAUGAACGCUGGCGGCGUGCCUAAUACAUGCAAGUCGAGCGAACGGACGAGAAGCUUGCUUCUCUGAUGUUAGCGGCGGACGGGUGAGUAACACGUGGAUAACCUACCUAUAAGACUGGGAUAACUUCGGGAAACCGGAGCUAAUACCGGAGAAUAUUUUGAACCGCAUGGUUCAAAAGUGAAAUACGGUCUUGCUGUCACUUAUAGAUGGAUCCGUGCUGCAUUAGCUAGUUGGUAAGGUAACGGCUUACCAAGGCAACGAUGCAUAGCCGACCUGAGAGGGUGAUCGGCCACACUGGAACUGGGCCACGGUCCAGACUCCUACGGGAGGCAGCAGUAGGGAAUCUUCCGCAAUGGGCGAAAGCCUGACGGAGCAACGCCGCGUGAGUGAUGAAGGUCUUCGGAUCGUAAAACUCUGUUAUUAGGGAAGAACAUAUGUGUACGUAACUGUGCACAUCUUGACGGUACCUAAUCAGAAAGCCACGGCUAACUACGUG